rnacentral:rRNA from 1 species
CGCGUAGGCGGACAGUUUAGUCAGAGGUGAAAGCCCAGGGCUCAACCUUGGAAUAGCCUUUGAUACUGGCUGUCUUGAGUACGGGAGAGGUGUGUGGAACUCCGAGUGUAGAGGUGUAAUUCGUAGAUAUUCGCAAGAACACCAGUGGCGAAGGCGGCUCACUGGGCCAUUACUGACGCUGAGGCACGAAAGCGUGGGAGCAAACA